GUUAGGAAUAUUGGACAAUGGGCGCAAGCCUGAUCCAGCCAUGCCGCGUGAGUGAUGAAGGCCUUCGGGUUGUAAAGCUCUUUAGUCCACGAAUAUAAUGACUGUAGUGGAAGAAUAAGCCCCGGCUAACUUCGUGCCAGCAGCCGCGGUAAUACGAAGGGGGCGAGCGUUAUUCGGAAUCACUGGGCGUAAAGCGUGCGUAGGCUGUUUUGUAAGUCAGAAGUGAAAGCCCAGGGCUUAACCCUGGAAUUGCUUUUGAAACUACAAGACUCGAAUUCGGGAGAGGAUAGCGGAAUUGUCAGUGUAGCAGUGAAAUGCGUAGAUAUUGACAGGAACACCAGUGGCGCAAGCGGCUAUCUGGACCGAUAUUGACGCUGAGGCACGAAAGCGUGGGGAUCGAACAGGAUUAGAAACCCCGGUAGUCC
rnacentral:rRNA from 1 species